rnacentral:rRNA from 1 species
GAUGAACGCUGGCGGCGUGCCUAAUACAUGCAAGUCGAGCGAACGGACGAUAAGCUUGUUUCUCUGAUGUUAGCGGCUGACGGGUGAGUAACACGUAGAUCACCUACCUAUAAUACUGGGAUAAUUUCGUAAAACCGGAUCUAAUACCGGAUAAUAUUUUGAACCGCAUGGUUCAAAAGUGAAUGACGGCCUUGCUGUCACUUAUAGCUGGUUCCGCGCUGCAUUAGCUAGUUGGUAAGGUAACGGCUUACCAAGGCAACGAUGCGUAGCCGAUCUGAGAGGGUGAUCGGCCACACUGGAACUGAGACACGGUCCAGACUCCUACGGGAGGCAGCAGUAGGGAAUCUUCCGCAAUGGGCGAAAGCCUGACGGAGCAACGCCGCGUGAGUGAUGAAGGUCUUCGGAUCGUAAAACUCUGUUAUUAGGGAAGAACAUCUGUGUAAGUAACUGUGGACAUCUUGACGGUACCUAAUCAGAAAGCAACGGCUAACUACGUG